ensembl:lncRNA
CUCUCAUACCAAGCCGGCAGGUAUAAGGUGGCAACCACGCUGCGUGCGUCAGCUGCGUAUCCUGCGCGCUCAUUACGCACAGACUCCGGUGUGAGGCAGGUGUAGUCCUGGACCCACCCACAAGCCAAACUCUUGUCAGGCAGAAGUUGCCCUCUGUCAGUCGGCAGCAGAGCACCUCGGAGGGGGGAAACAUUAGCAGUCUCCAGAAUUCCAGCAUAAGAAAAAAGACUUCCCUGCAUCUCUGGACAAACUACGGCAGCUGAUAGAGGACAGCGUUCACAUCCUACAAUCACCCAUCACUGAAAACCAGCAGGGUUUGGUGUGUGAGGACAACGCAGGAGGAGAAGGAGUGUGGAGGUUUGCCGUACUAAGUCAACAACUGACCUUUCACCUCCAGCAGCUACAGAGACAAACGGAGCAGGAACUCAGCAACAUACAAACACAACUCCUUCAGAUUGAUGGCCGCCAGCAGCUGCUAACCACUCAGCUGUAUGAUCUUGAGGAGAAGAAGAAACAGACAGAAGAAGAGCUGAAGAGAAGUUGCUGCCUUCAGACGUCCACUUUUAAACUGAACACUUGUCGGGAGCUUCAGACGUCCAUCACAGACUGUUUGGUCCAAUCUGAGAGACUGGUGUUUCAGGAGAAGGCACUGAGCACGCUCAGUAAACUGCUGACCGAAGACCUGCUGAGGUAUCGGGAAGAGACGCAAAGACUGGACUGUUUCACACAGAAAAUACACAGGGAGUCACACGGGUACCCAGAACAUUACACACAC